UACGGAGGGUGCAAGCGUUGUCCGGAAUCACUGGGCGUACAGGGCGCGUAGGCGGCUCAGGAAGGCUGUGGUGAAAGUCCGGGGCUCAACCUCGGAUCGGCCGUGGCGACUCGUGGGCUGGAGCACUGUAGAGGCGGGGGGAAUUCCGGGUGUAGCGGUGGAAUGCGUAGAGAUCCGGAAGAACACCCGUGGCGAAGGCGGCCCGCUGGGCAGUGGCUGACGCUGAGGCGCGACAGCGUGGGGAGCAAACAGG
rnacentral:rRNA from 1 species